rnacentral:lncRNA from 1 species
UUCAAGGUAUUACCUACAAAAUCAUCAAACAAGUUAGUGAAAAAAAAUCCUCUCCUCACUUACACUCUUUGGAUAAUCUCACACUUUAGUUUUACAAGUGUUGUAGAUUGGCUAGUAACCCAUGAAUCCUUAAGGUAUGUGUAAGCUCUUAUCCGGAGUGGAUUCUUGUUUGAAGACUCAAAGAAUUUUCGUCGGACUAAAACCAAGAAUUAGCAACGUAUUCAAAAUAUAAAAGCACCCAAGUAAUCAUUGACACGAACAAACGGAUUUAAAGGACUAACUGACAACCUAGUAGGAAUGUACUAGUUUGUU